UACGGAGGGAGCUAGCGUUGUUCGGAAUUACUGGGCGUAAAGCGCACGUAGGCGGCUUUGUAAGUUAGAGGUGAAAGCCCGGAGCUCAACUCCGGAACUGCCUUUAAGACUGCAUCGCUUGAAUCCAGGAGAGGUGAGUGGAAUUCCGAGUGUAGAGGUGAAAUUCGUAGAUAUUCGGAAGAAACACCAGUGGCGAAGGGCGGCUCACUGGACUGGUAUUGACGCUGAGGUGCGAAAGCGUGGGGAGCAA
rnacentral:rRNA from 1 species